rnacentral:rRNA from 1 species
ACUCCUACGGGAGGCAGCAGUGGGGAAUAUUGCGCAAUGGGGGAAACCCUGACGCAGCAAUGCCGCGUGAAUGAUGAAGGCCUUCGGGUUGUAAAGUUCUUUUAUUAGGGAAGAUAAUGACGGUACCUAAAGAAAAAGCCCCGGCUAACUUCGUGCCAGCAGCCGCGGUAAUACGAAGGGGCUAGCGUUGUUCGGAAUUACUGGGCGUAAAGAGCGUGUAGGCGGUUUAUUAAGUUGGAUGUGAAAUCCCUGGCUUAACCUAGGAACUGCAUCCAAAACUGGUUUACUUGAGUACGAGAGGGGAAAGCGGAAUUUCCGCGUGUAGCAGUGAAAUGCGUAGAUAUGCGGAGGAACACCAGGGGCGAAGGCGGCUUUCUGGCUCGUAACUGACGCUGAGGCGCGAAACGUGGGGAGCAAACAGGAUUAGAUCCCCUGGUAGGCUCUGC